GUCGGCAAAAUUCAUACACUUCAU
rnacentral:siRNA from 1 species